rnacentral:rRNA from 1 species
GAUGAACGCUGGCGGCGUGCCUAAUACAUGCAAGUCGAGCGAACAGACGAGGAGCUUGCUCCUCUGACGUUAGCGGCGGACGGGUGAGUAACACGUGGAUAACCUACCUAUAAGACUGGGAUAACUUCGGGAAACCGGAGCUAAUACCGGAUAAUAUAUUGAACCGCAUGGUUCAAUAGUGAAAGACGGUUUUGCUGUCACUUAUAGAUGGAUCCGCGCCGCAUUAGCUAGUUGGUAAGGUAACGGCUUACCAAGGCAACGAUGCGUAGCCGACCUGAGAGGGUGAUCGGCCACACUGGAAGUGAGACACGGUCCAGACUCCUACGGGAGGCAGCAGAAGGGAAUCUUCCGCAAUGGGCGAAAGCCUGACGGAGCAACGCCGCGUGAGUGAUGAAGGUCUUCGGAUCGUAAAACUCUGUUAUUAGGGAAGAACAAAUGUGUAAGUACCUAUGCACGUCUUGACGGUACCUAAUCAGAAAGCCACGGCUAACUACGUG